UGCCUUUGUGUUGCCCCAUUCACUUUGGGAAACUUAGCAAUGAGGUGUUCAAAAAAAAAGGCAUACAUAAAUGUCUUGUAAGUCUUUUCUACCCUUAAAUGUGGUUAUGUUUGGGGUAGGACUGCAAUAAGCAACAUUC
rnacentral:snoRNA from 1 species